rnacentral:rRNA from 1 species
GGCCUAAUGCGUUAGUCCUGCUACGUCCGCGACCCCUCGUCCUUAGUUGCUACCUGUUCGGGAGUGCACUCUAAGGAGACUGCCUUCGAAAGGCUUAGGGAGGUGAGGACCACGUCAAGGUAUCAUGGCCCUUUUGGCUUGGGCUACACACGUGCUACAAUGGGGCGUACAAAGGGUUGCGAUACCUCGAGGUGGAGCUAAUCUCUUAAAGCGUCUCUCAGUUCGGAUUGUUGUCUGCCACUCCCCUCCUGAAGCUGGAAUCACUAGUAAUCGCGGAUCAGCAAUGCUACGGUGAAAACGUUCCCGGGACUUGUACAAACCGCCCAAAAA